rnacentral:rRNA from 1 species
UACGGAAGGCAGCAGUGGGGAAUAUUGCACAAUGGGCGAAAGCCUGAUGCAGCUAUGCCGCGUGUAUGAAGAAGGCCUUAGGGUUGUAAAGUACUUUCAUCGGGGAGGAAAAAACAAAACUAAUAAUUUUAUUUCUUGACGUUACCCGAAAAAGAAGCACCGGCUAACUCCGUGCCAGCAGCCGCGGUAAUACGGAGGGUGCUAGCGUUAAUCAGAAUUACUGGGCGUAAAGAGCACGUAGGUGGUUUUUUUAAGUCAGAUGUGAAAUCCCUGGGCUUAACCUAGGAACUGCAUUUUGAAACUGAAAUACUAGAGUAUCGUAGAGGGAGGUAGAAUUCUAGGUGUAGCGGUGAAAUGCGUAGAUAUCUGGAGGAAUACCUGUGGCGAAAGCGGCCUCCUAAACGAAUACCGACACUGAGGGUGCGAAAGCGUGGGGAGCAAACGAGGGAUUAGAUACC